UGUUCCUUGCAGGCAGAGAUAUUGCCACCUGGGUCAGUGGGGCUCCAGACUUAUACUUGACUAGGCCCAGGCUGCCUGAACAGACCACUGCCCCACAGUUCUCUGCUUUGUUUUGGGCGUGGGGUAUCACUACGUAGUCAAGGCUCGUACCAGAGUCAUAAUCCUGCUUCAGUGUUCUGAGUGCUUAACACCAUGACCAUUUACUACGGCCAUUCUUAACUCCAACAUUAAUCUCAGAAUUAUUCACAUGGUGUGGUUUGCGUUGUCAUCUUGACAGAAUCUAGGGUUAGCUAAGAGACAGGCCCCUAGCAUGCCCAUGGACAUUGCAUUAACUGAGCUGGAAAGACCAACCUAUUGAGAUCAGCUUUCAGAAGAAGGUGCAUUCUACUAACAAUCCCCAGAAGAGACAACAGAGUAUAACACAUCGCCUUUAUAAUGUCCUAUAAUUUGGGAAUUCUGCAAUAGUUUUUAUUUAAAUUUAUAAAUUUCUAAUUUUUAAUUU